rnacentral:rRNA from 1 species
GUUUGCUUGGAAGCAGCAAUUCAUUUAAAGAGUGCGUAACAGCUCACUAGUCGAGCGUUCUUGCGCGGAAAAUAAUCGGGCAUCAAAUAUCUUACCGAAGCUUUGGAUACCAGUCUAGGACUGGUGGUGGUAGGGGAGCAUUCUAAACUGCAGUGAAGGUGUGUCGUGAGAUGCGCUGGAGUGUUUAGAAAAGCAAAUGUAGGAAUGAGUAACGAUAAAAUAGGUGAGAAACCUAUUCGCCGUAAGACUAAGGAUUCCGGGAUCUAUGUUAAUCAGAACCGGGUUAGUCGGGGCCUAAGGUGUAGCCGAAGGGCGAAGCCGAUGGGAAACAGGUUAAUAUUCCUGUACAUGUAUCAGCUGUGAUGGGGUGACGAAGGAGCGUAAGGUUCGCCCACUGACGGAAUAGUGGGUUGAAGGGAGAAGGCGUUGAAGAUAUAGGCAAAUCCGUAUCUGAGCUGAGACCUGAUAGUACACAAGUCCCUUGGGAUGAGUGAUAGUGACUGUAAGCAUACUUCCAAGAAAAACCUCUAAACUUCAGGCUGACACAUCCCGUACCGUAAACCGACACAGGUAGUCGAGGAGAGUAUCCUAAGGCGCUCGAGUGAAUCAUGGCUAAGGAAUUAGGCAAAAUGGCCUCGUAACUUCGGGAGAAGAGGCGCUCCGUGUAAAAAUGGAGCCGCAGUGAAAAGGCCCAGGCGACUGUUUAGCAAAAACACAGGACUCUGCGAAAUCGUAAGAUGAAGUAUAGGGUCUGACACCUGCCCGGUGCUGGAAGGUUAAGGAAGGGGGUUAGCGCAAGCGAAGCUCUUGACUGAAGCCCCAGUAAACGGCGGCCGUAACUAUAACGGUCCUAAGGUAGCGAAAUUCCUUGUCGGGUAAGUUCCGACCUGCACGAAUGGUGUAACGAUCUGGGCACUGUCUCAGCCAUGAGCUCGGUGAAAUUGAAGUAUCGGUGAAGAUGCCGGUUACCCGCAGUGGGACGAAAAGACCCCGUGCACCUUUACUAUAGCUUCACAUUGAGCUUGAGUAUAAGAUGUGUAGGAUAGGUGGGAGACUAUGAAGUGGUCACGCAAGUGAUUGUGGAGUCGCCGUUGAAAUACCACCCUUCUUAUACUUAGGUUCUAACCAUUGGAAAGAAUGGGACAUUGUGUGGUGGGUAGUUUGACUGGGGUGGUCGCCUCCAAAAGAGUAACGGAGGCUUGCAAAGGUUCCCUCAGCAUGGUCGGUAAUCAUGCGUAGAGCGUAUUAGUAUAAGGGAGCUUGACUGGGAGACCGACGGGUCGAUCAGGGACGAAAGUCGGCUAAAGUGAUCCGGUGGUUCCGUAUGGAAGGGCCAUCGCUCAAAGGAUAAAAGGUACGCCGGGGAUAACAGGCUGAUCUCCCCCAAGAGCUCACAUCGACGGGGAGGUUUGGCACCUCGAUGUCGGCUCGUCACAUCCUGGGGCUGGAGAAGGUCCCAAGGGUUGGGCUGUUCGCCCAUUAAAGUGGCACGCGAGCUGGGUUCAGAACGUCGCAAGACAGUUCGGUCUCUAUCUACUGUGGGCGUAGGAAUAUUGAGAAGAUCUGACACUAGUACGAGAGGACCGUGUUGGACAGACCUCUAGUGUACCAGUUAUGCCGCCAGGUGUACCGCUGGGUAGCUAUGUUUGGAACGGAUAAGCGCUGAAAGCAUCUAAGCGCGAAGCCAACUUCAAGAUGAGUAUUCCAUUGUCGCAAGACUAAAAGGGUUGUUGCAGAUGACGACGUUGAUAGGCUACAGGUGGAAGUGCAGUGAUGUAUGGAGCCGAGUAGUACUAAUUACCCGAAUGCUUCCUUU